GAUGAACGCUGGCGGCGUGCCUAAUACAUGCAAGCCGAGCGAACAGACGAGGAGCUUGCUCCUCUGACGUUAGCGGCGGACGGGUGAGUAACACGUGGAUAACCUACCUAUAAGACUGGGAUAACUUCGGGAAACCGGAGCUAAUACCGGAUAAUAUAUUGAACCGCAUGGUUCAAUAGUGAAAGACGGUUUUGCUGUCACUUAUAGAUUGAUCCGCGCCGCAUUAGCUAGUUGGUAAGGUAACGGCUUACCAAGGCAACGAUGCGUAGCCGACCUGAGAGGGUGAUCGGCCACACUGGAACUGAGACACGGUCCAGACUCCUACGGGAGGCAGCAGUAGGGAAUCUUCCGCAAUGGGCGAAAGCCUGACGGAGCAACGCCGCGUGAGUGAUGAAGGUCUUCGGAUCGUAAAACUCUGUUAUUAGGGAAGAACAAAUGUGUAAGUAACUAUGCACGUCUUGACGGUACCUAAUCAGAAAGCCACGGCUAACUACGUG
rnacentral:rRNA from 1 species